rnacentral:rRNA from 1 species
UACAGAGGUCCCAAGCGUUGUUCGGAUUCACUGGGCGUAAAGGGUGCGUAGGUGGUGAGGUAAGUCGGAUGUGAAAUCUCCGGGCUCAACCCGGAAAUGGCAUUGGAAACUACCUUGCUAGAGGGUUUGAGGGGGGAUUGGAAUACUUGGUGUAGCAGUGAAAUGCGUAGAUAUCAAGUGGAACACCAGUGGCGAAGGCGACAUCCUGGACCGGUAUUGACGCUGAGGCGCGAAAGCCAGGGGAGCAAACGGG